rnacentral:tRNA from 1 species
GCCUGGAUAGCUCAGUGGUAGAGCUCCUGAGAAGAGUUACAGGGGUCCUUGGUUCGAUUCCCGGUCCAGCCA